rnacentral:rRNA from 1 species
UACGUAGGGCGCAAGCGUUGUCCGGAAUUAUUGGGCGUAAAGAGCUCGUAGGCGGCUUGUCACGUCGGAUGUGAAAGCCCGGGGCUUAACCCCGGGUCUGCAUUCGAUACGGGCUAGCUAGAGUGUGGUAGGGGAGAUCGGAAUUCCUGGUGUAGCGGUGAAAUGCGCAGAUAUCAGGAGGAACACCGGUGGCGAGGGCGGAUCUCUGGGCCAUUACUGACGCUGAGGAGCGAAAGCGUGGGGAGCGAACAGG